CAGGUCCGUCUUGUGGCCCCUCCCUGCGAACAGAGUCAGACACACACCAGAGUCUGACACCAGGAAGCUUUUUUUAAGACUUGUUGAAUACAUUGUUGUCUUUAGCUUUUAGCUGCACCAAGAAACCUGAGGAUGGAAAUGAAAAGUUUUUCAAAGCAGAGUUCUUUGUGAAAAGCUUUUAUUCAGAUUGACUAUGCGGUCUCCCAGGCAGCAGCAACAGGAAAGGCCUACAGUGGACCCUCUGCCAAGGGGGUCCCAUGCCCAGUUUAGUGGAGCUGUGUACUCAUUGUGCAGGGGAAUCCUGAUGCAGGGAAAUUUGAGAAGACCCAACUAACGUAUGCUCAAGAGGACAAGCUUUAGUUAGUAAAGAUGGUUUGCUGGUGUGUGUGUGUGUGUGUGUGUGUGUGUGUGUGUGUGUGACAUAAAUAAAAGGGAUUAAGAACUCUC